AAAAAUUUAGUUAAAAAAUAACAUUAGUUUGUCAAACUAAAAUUAUUAAUAAUAAUAAUUUUUU
rnacentral:tRNA from 1 species